UUGGCUAAUGUGUCUUGGCUAAGGUGUCUUAGCUAAGGUGUCUUGGCUAAUGUGUUUUGGCUAAGGUGUCUUGGCUUAUGUGUCUUGGCUAAGGUGUCUUGGCUAAGGUGUCUUGGCUAUGGUGUCUUGGCUAAUGUGUCUUGGCUAAGGUGUCUUGGCUAAGGUGUCUUGGCUAAGGUGUCUUGGCUAAGGUGUCUUGGCUAAGGUGUCUUGGCUAAUGUGUCUCGGCUAAGGUGUCUUGGCUAAGGUGUCUUGGCUAAUGUGUCUUGGCUAAGGUGUCUUGGCUAAGGUGUCUUGACUAAGGUGUCUUGGCUAAUGUGUUUCGGCUAAGGUGUCUUGGCUAAUGUGUCUUGGCUAAGGUGUCUUGGCUAAUGUGUCUUGGCUAAUGUGUCUUGGCUAAGGUGUCUUGGCUAAGGUGUCUUGGCUAAGGUGUCUUGGCUAAUGUGUCUUGGCUAAGGUGUCUUGGCUAAGGUGUCUUGGCUAAGGUGUCUUGGCUAAGGUGUCUUGGCUAAGGUGUCUUGGCUAAUGUGUCUCGGCUAAGGUGUCUUGGCUAAUGUGUCUUGGCUAAGGUGUCUUGGCUAAGGUGUCUUGGCUAAGGUGUCUUGGCUAAGGUGUCUUGGCUAAGGUGUCUUGGCUAAGGUGUCUUGGCUAAGGUGUCUUGGCUAAGGUGUCUUGGCUAAUGUGUCUCGGCUAAAGUGUCUUGGCUUAUGUGUCUUGGCUAAGGUGUCUUGGCUAAGGUGUCUUGGCUAAUGUGUCUUGGCUAAGGUGUCUUGGCUAAGGUGUCUUGGCUAAUGUGUCUCGGCUAAAGUGUCUUGGCUAAGGUGUCUUGGCUAAGGUGUCUUGGCUAAGGUGUCUUGGCUAAGGUGUCUUGGCUAAGGUGUCUUGGCUAAGGUGUCUUGGCUAAUGUGUCUUGGCUAAUGUGUCUCGGCUAAGGUGUCUUGGCUAAUGUGUCUUGGCUAAGGUGUCUUGGCUAAUGUGUCUUGGCUAAUGUGUCUUGGCUAAGGUGUCUUGGCUAAAGUGUCUUGGCUAAGGUGUCUUGGCUAAGGUGUCUUGGCUAAGGUGUCUUGGCUAAUGUGUCUUGGCUAAAGUGUCUUGGCUAGGGUGUCUUGGCUAAUGUGUCUCGGCUAAGGUGUCUUGGCUAAGGUGUCUUGGCUAAUGUGUCUUGGCUAAUGUGUCUUGGCUAAGGUGUCUUGGCUAAUGUGUCUUGGCUAAUGUGUCUUGGCUAAGGUGUCUUGGCUAAUGUGUCUUGGCUAAUGUGUCUUGGCUAAGGUGUCUUGGCUAAUGUGUCUCGGCUAAAGUGUCUUGGCUAAGGUGUCUUGGCUAAGGUGUCUUGGCUAAUGUGUCUUGGCUAAGGUGUCUUGGCUAAGGUGUCUUGGCUAAUGUGUCUUGGCUAAGGUGUCUUGGUUAAUGUGUCUUGGCUAAGGUGUCUUGGCUAAGGUGUCUUGGCUAAGGUGUCUUGGCUAAUGUGUCUUGGCUAAUGUGUCUUGGCUAAUGUGUCUUGGCUAAGGUGUCUUGGCUAAGGUGUCUUGGCUAAUGUGUCUUGGCUAAUGUGUCUUGGCUAAGGUGUCUUGGCUAAUGUGUCUUGGCUAAGGUGUCUUGGCUAAGGUGUCUUGGCUAAGGUGUCUUGGCUAAUGUGUCUUGGCUAAGGUGUCUUGGCUAAGGUGUCUUGGCUAAUGUGUCUUGGCUAAGGUGUCUUGGUUAAUGUGUCUUGGCUAAGGUGUCUUGGCUAAGGUGUCUUGGCUAAGGUGUCUUGGCUAAGGUGUCUUGGCUAAUGUGUCUUGGCUAAUGUGUCUUGGCUAAGGUGUCUUGGCUAAGGUGUCUUGGCUAAUGUGUCUUGGCUAAUGUGUCUUGGCUAAAGUGUCUUGGCUAAGGUGUCUUGGCUAAGGUGUCUUGGCUAAGGUGUCUUGGCUAAGGUGUCUUGGCUAAGGUGUCUUGGCUAAGGUGUCUUGGCUAAGGUGUCUCGGCUAAUGUGUCUUGGCUAAUGUGUCUUGGCUAAAGUGUCUUGGCUAAGGUGUCUUGGCUAAGGUUUCUUGGCUAAUGUGUCUUGGCUAAGGUGUCUUGGCUAAGGUGUCUUGGCUAAGGUGUCUUGGCUAAGGUGUCUUGGCUAAGGUGUCUUGGCUAAGGUGUCUUGGCUAAGGUGUUUUGGCUAAUGUGUCUCGGCUAAGGUGUCUUGGCUAAGGUGUCUUGGCUAAGGUGUCUUGGCUAAGGUGUCUUGGCUAAUGUGUCUCGGCUAAAGUGUCUUGGCUAAUGUGUCUUGGCUAAGGUGUCUUGGCUAAGGUGUCUUGGCUAAUGUGUCUUGGUCAAUGUGUCUUGGCUUAGGUGUCUUGGCUAAUGUGUCUUGGCUAAUGUGUCUUGGCUAAGGUGUCUUGGCUAAUGUGUCUUGGCUAAGGUGUCUUGGCUAAGGUGUCUUGGCUAAGGUGUCUUGGCUAAUGUGUCUUGGCUAAUGUGUCUUGGCUAAGGUGUCUUGGCUAAUGUGUCUUGGCUAAGGUGUCUUGGCUAAGGUGUCUUGGCUAAGGUGUCUUGGCUAAGGUGUCUUGGCUAAUGUGUCUUGGCUAAUGUGUCUUGGCUAAGGUGUCUUGGCUAAGGUGUCUUGGCUAAGGUGUCUUGGCUAAGGUGUCUUGGCUAAGGUGUCUUGGCUAAGGUGUCUUGGCAAAUGUGUCUCGGCUAAGGUGUCUUGGCUAUUGUGUCUUGGCUAAGGUGUCUUGGCUAAGGUGUCUUGGCUAAGGUGUCUUGGCUAAGGUGUCUUGGCUAAGGUGUCUUUGCUAAGGUGUCUUGGCUAAGGUGUCUUGGCUAAGGUGUCUUGGCUAAGGUGUCUUGGCUAAGGUGUCUUGGCUAAGGUGUCUUGGCUAAUGUGUCUCGGCUAAGGUGUCUUGGCUAAGGUGUCUUGGCUAAGGUGUCUUGGCUAAGGUGUCUUGGCUAAUGUGUCUCAGCUUAAGUGUCUUGGCUAAUGUGUCUUGGCUAAGGUGUCUUGGCUAAGGUGUC